rnacentral:rRNA from 1 species
AACGAACGCUGGCGGCAUGCCUAACACAUGCAAGUCGAACGAGACCUUCGGGUCUAGUGGCGCACGGGUGCGUAACGCGUUGGAACCUUCCCUUAGGUUCGGAAUAACUCCCCGAAAGGGGUGCUAAUACCGGAUAAUGUCUUCGGACCAAAGAUUUAUCGCCUUUGUAUGGGCCCGCGUUGGAUUAGCUUGUUGGUAGGGUAAAAGCAUACCAAGGCGACGAUCCAUAGCUGGUAUGAGAGGAUGAUCAGCCACACUGGGACUGAGACACGGCCGAGACUACUACGGGAGGCAGCAGUGGGGAAUAUUGGAAAAUGGGGGAAAGCAUGAUAAAGCAAGGACGCGUGAGUGAUGAAGGCAUUAGGGUUGUAAAGCUCUUUUACCCGGGAUGAUAAUGACAGUACCGGGAGAAUAAGCACCGGCUAACUCCGUG